rnacentral:rRNA from 1 species
UGGGGAAUAUUGCACAAUGGGCGAAAGCCUGAUGCAGCAACGCCGCGUGAGUGAUGAAGGUCUUCGGAUUGUAAAGCUCUGUCUUUUGGGACGAUAAUGACGGUACCAAAGGAGGAAGCCACGGCCAACUACGUGCCAGCAGCCGCGGUAAUACGUAGGUGGCGAGCGUUGUCCGGAUUUACUGGGCGUAAAGGGUGCGUAGGCGGAUGUUUAAGUGAGAUGUGAAAUACCCGGGCUUAACUUGGGUGCUGCAUUUCAAACUGGAUAUCUAGAGUGCAGGAGAGGAGAAUGGAAUUCCUAGUGUAGCGGUGAAAUGCGUAGAGAUUAGGAAGAACACCAGUGGCGAAGGCGAUUCUCUGGACUGUAACUGACGCUGAGGCACGAAAGCGUGGGUAGCAAACAGGAUUAGAUACCCUGGUAGUCCACGCCGUAAAACGAUGAGUACUAGGUGUAGGAGGUNUCGACCCCUUCUGUGCCGCAGUAAACACAUU